rnacentral:rRNA from 1 species
UGGCGGACGGGUGAGUAACGCGUGGGUAACCUGCCUUACACAGGGGGAUAACACUUAGAAAUAGGUGCUAAUACCGCAUGAGCGCACAGGACCGCAUGGUCGAGUGUGAAAAACUGAGGUGGUGUAAGAUGGACCCGCGUCUGAUUAGCUAGUUGGUGAGGUAACGGCCCACCAAGGCGACGAUCAGUAGCCGGCCUGAGAGGGUGGACGGCCACAUUGGGACUGAGACACGGCCCGAACUCCUACGGAAGGCAGCAG